GAGAAGUAUUAGCCAAUAAAAAGAAUAUGUUAGAGGCUCUCUUAACAAUAAAAAAAGCCAAGUAAAGACUUAGAGUUUUCUACCAAACAGUCGCCGCUCAAAAGAACAAAAAAAAACUCUCAGCACACACCCACAACCUUUUUUCCCUCACUCAACAACCAGCCUCAACCACCGUGAGCAACUUCCUUUCCCAAACCCUCAACACCAGCAGCAGUAACGAGUUCUUCCUCACGACAACGACUCUCUCUUCCUCUCGGUCAAAACAAUCUCUACAGCAGCCCGAUCAUGCUCCAUCAAAACACUCCGGCUUGUGACCAGUGAUCUCCCUCUCAAUAGAACAACCCAGUAACUAGAAUCACCGCAUCUUCGUCCACCAGUGACGACAACAACUGCCAAUAAAGGAGAAACAAAAUAGAGAGAGAGGAGUAAGAGCUGAAAUUUGAAGUGGUUAGAUCUAUCUCCUUAGAACUCUGUUUGCCUCACACUAUUCAAAGUAGAAAGAGUAGUUAAUGAUCUACCAGAUCCAGUGGGUCUCAGUCCGUUAAGAUAACCAGAGGGUGACUGCAAGCACCACCAGCCAUGGACACGCGUGAGCUGCACACACUGAAGCAACUAUGCUCAGAUCUAGUUGGUUUCAAACACCUCUGAAGGUUAACUUCUAUCAUUUGAUGACAACCGAUCUUGAGCAUGGCUGGCCUUUAUUUUCUUCUAGAUUGUCCCAACUCUUUCAAGCCAAAUCGAUAAAUAGGUGGUCAGAUAUUAGACUCUGAAAAGUUUGAACUUAAUUGACUUGGAUAUCCCUGUAGACACCAAAGAGAAGGCAGAGUUUUGUUGAUUAUUGAUAAACAUAUAUGUACAGAAUAAUUGUUCUAAUAAAAUAAGUAAUUAAUGAUCUUUGUUA